UGGCCGGUGUCUCUCUUUCUUCCGCUUCUUUCCUUCUUCCUUUCUCUUCCUCUCUUUCUUUUUAUCCAUUUCUCCUCCUUCCUUUCCUCUUCUUUCUCCUUUCUCUACCUAAUCUCCUCCUCUCCUUUCUCCAUCCAUUCUCCUUCUCUCUUUUCUCCUCCCCUUCCUUCCUAUCCACUACUCCUUAUCUUUUUCCUUCAUACCGUCUAUAAACUAUUUCCUUACAUGGCAACCUCUUUUCCUAGCACAUGAGAGAGAGAGAGACUUAAGUUGGGGUUCAAUUUUUCCAUCACUU
rnacentral:lncRNA from 1 species